rnacentral:lncRNA from 1 species
GAGGUGGUGUCAUGGCUGCCGAGGUGGUGUCAUGGCGGCCGAGAAAGUAUCAUGGCCACCGAGGUGGUGCCAUGGCUGCCGACGAAGUAUCAUGGCUGCCAAGGUGGUGUGAUGGCCGCCAAGGUGGUGUCAUGGCUGCCAACGAGCCGUCAUGGCUGCCGAGGUGGUGUCAUGGUUGCCAAUGAGGUGUCAUGGCCUCCGACCUGGUGUCAUGGCUGCCAAGGCAGUGUCAUGGCUGCCAAUGAGGCGGUAUCAUGGCUGCCAACGAGGUAUCAUGGCUGCCAACGAGGUAUCAUGGCUGACAAGGCGGUGUCAUGGCCGACAUGGUGGUGUCAUGGCUGCCAACAAGGUAUCAUGGCCGACGAGGCGGUGUCAUGGCCGACAGGGUGGUGUCAUGGCUGCCAAGGAGGCGGUGUCAUGGCCGACACGGUGGUGUCAUGGCUGCCAACGUGGCGGUGUCAUGGCUGCCAACAAGGUCUCAACCGCCGCCAUGACGUCACCGCCGCCAUACAACCGCCAUGAUGUCACCACCGCCAUAUGAUCACCGCCAUGACGUCACCACUGCCAUACGACCACCACGAUGUCACCAUUGCCCAUAUGACCACCGCCAUGAUGUCACCACCGCCAUACGAC